rnacentral:rRNA from 1 species
AGUCGAACGGUGAAGCCAAGCUUGCUUGGUGGAUCAGUGGCGAACGGGUGAGUAACACGUGAGCAACCUGCCCUGGACUCUGGGAUAAGCGCUGGAAACGGCGUCUAAUACUGGAUAUGAGCUCUCAUCGCAUGGUGGGGGUUGGAAAGAUUUUUCGGUCUGGGAUGGGCUCGCGGCCUAUCAGCUUGUUGGUGAGGUAAUGGCUCACCAAGGCGUCGACGGGUAGCCGGCCUGAGAGGGUGACCGGCCACACUGGGACUGAGACACGGCCCAGACUCCUACGGGAGGCAGCAGUGGGGAAUAUUGCACAAUGGGCGGAAGCCUGAUGCAGCAACGCCGCGUGAGGGAUGACGGCCUUCGGGUUGUAAACCUCUUUUAGCAGGGAAGAAGCGAGAGUGACGGUACCUGCAGAAAAAGCGCCGGCUAACUACGUGCCAGCAGCCGCGGUAAUACGUAGGGCGCAAGCGUUAUCCGGAAUUAUUGGGCGUAAAGAGCUCGUAGGCGGUUUGUCGCGUCUGCUGUGAAAUCCCGAGGCUCAACCUCGGGCCUGCAGUGGGUACGGGCAGACUAGAGUGCGGUAGGGGAGAUUGGAAUUCCUGGUGUAGCGGUGGAAUGCGCAGAUAUCAGGAGGAACACCGAUGGCGAAGGCAGAUCUCUGGGCCGUAACUGACGCUGAGGAGCGAAAGGGUGGGGAGCAAACAGGCUUAGAUACCCUGGUAGUCCACCCCGUAAACGUUGGGAACUAGUUGUGGGGACCAUUCCACGGUUUCCGUGACGCAGCUAACGCAUUAAGUUCCCCGCCUGGGGAGUACGGCCGCAAGGCUAAAACUCAAAGGAAUUGACGGGGACCCGCACAAGCGGCGGAGCAUGCGGAUUAAUUCGAUGCAACGCGAAGAACCUUACCAAGGCUUGACAUACACCAGAACACCGUAGAAAUACGGGACUCUUUGGACACUGGUGAACAGGUGGUGCAUGGUUGUCGUCAGCUCGUGUCGUGAGAUGUUGGGUUAAGUCCCGCAACGAGCGCAACCCUCGUUCUAUGUUGCCAGCACGUAAUGGUGGGAACUCAUGGGAUACUGCCGGGGUCAACUCGGAGGAAGGUGGGGAUGACGUCAAAUCAUCAUGCCCCUUAUGUCUUGGGCUUCACGCAUGCUACAAUGGCCGGUACAAAGGGCUGCAAUACCGUGAGGUGGAGCGAAUCCCAAAAAGCCGGUCCCAGUUCGGAUUGAGGUCUGCAACUCGACCUCAUGAAGUCGGAGUCGCUAGUAAUCGCAGAUCAGCAACGCUGCGGUGAAUACGUUCCCGGGUCUUGUACACACCGCCCGUCAGUCAUGAAAGUCGGUAACACCUGAAGCCGUGGCCCAACCCUUGUGGAGGAGCCGUCGA